UACAGAGGUCUCAAGCGUUGUUCGGAAUUACUGGGCGUAAAGGGCUCGUAGGCGGCCAACUCAGUCAGACGUGAAAUCCCUCGGCUUAACCGGGGAACUGCGUCUGAUACUGGAUGGCUUGAGUUUGGGAGAGGGAUGCGGAAUUCCAGGUGUAGCGGUGAAAUGCGUAGAUAUCUGGAGGAACACCGGUGGCGAAGGCGGCAUCCUGGACCAACACUGACGCUGAGGAGCGAAAGCCAGGGGAGCAAACGGG
rnacentral:rRNA from 1 species